rnacentral:rRNA from 1 species
UACGUAGGAUCCAAGCGUUAUCCGGAAUUACUGGGCGUAAAGAGUUGCGUAGGUGGCAUUGUAAGCAGGGCAUGAAAUCGUGUGGCUCAACCAUACGGCUAUGUUCUGAACUGCAAAGCUAGAGCAUGAGAGGGGUAGAUGGAAUUACUAGUGUAGGAGUGAAAUCCGUAGAUAUUAGUAGGAACACCGAUAGCGUAGGCAGUCUACUGGCUCAUUGCUGACACUCAGGCACGAAAGCGUAGGGAGCGAACGGG